UACAGAGGUGGCAAGCGUUGUUCGGAAUUACUGGGCGUGAAGGGCGCGUAGGCGGCCUUCUAAGUCAGACGUGAAAUCCCCCGGCUUAACCUGGGAACUGCGUCUGAUACUGGAAGGCUUGAGUGCGGGAGAGGGAUGUGGAAUUCCAGGUGUAGCGGUGAAAUGCGUAGAUAUCUGGAGGAACACCGGUGGCGAAGGCGGCAUCCUGGACCGACACUGACGCUGAGGCGCGAAAGCUAGGGUAGCAAACGGG
rnacentral:rRNA from 1 species